rnacentral:rRNA from 1 species
GGUUAAGCGACUAAGCGUACACGGUGGAUGCCUAGGCAGUCAGAGGCGAUGAAGGGCGUGCUAAUCUGCGAUAAGCGUCGGCAAGGUGAUAUGAACCGUUAUACCCGACGAUACCCGAAUGGGGAAACCCAGUGUGUUUCGACACACUAUCACACACUGAAUUCAUAGGUGUGUGAGGCGAACCGGGGGAACUGAAACAUCUCAGUACCCCGAGGAAAAGAAAUCAACCGAGAUUCCCCCAGUAGCGGCGAGCGAACGGGGAAGAGCCCAGAACCUGAAUCGGCUUGUGUGUCAGUGGAAGCGUCUGGAAAGUCGCACAGUAAAGGGUGAUAGUCCCGUACACAAAAAUGCACAAGUUGUGAGUUCGAUGAGUAGGGCGGGACACGUGACAUCCUGUCUGAAUAUGGGGGACCAUCCUCCAAGGCUAAAUACUCCUGACUGACCGAUAGUGAACCAGUACCGUGAGGGAAAGGCGAAAAGAACCCCGGCGAGGGGAGUGAAAUAGAACCUGAAACCGUGUACGUACAAGCAGUGGGAGCCUUGAUUUAUCAGGGUGACUGCGUACCUUUUGUAUAAUGGGUCAGCGACUUAUAUUCUGUAGCAAGGUUAACCGAAUAGGGGAGCCGCAGGGAAACCGAGUCUUAACUGGGCGUUAAGUUGCAGGGUAUAGACCCGAAACCCGGUGAUUCUAGCCAUGGGCAGGUUGAAGGUUGGGUAACACUAACUGGAGGACCGAACCGACUAAUGUUGAAAAAUUAGCGGAUGACUUGUGGCUGGGGGUGAAAGGCCAAUCAAACCGGGAGAUAGCUGGUUCUCCCCGAAAGCUAUUUAGGUAGCGCCUCGUGAAUUCAUCUUCGGGGUAGAGCACUGUUUCGGCUAGGGGGCCAUCCCGGCUUACCAACCCGAUGCAAACUGCGAAUACCGAAGAAUGUUAUCACGGGAGACACACGGCGGGUGCUAACGUCCGUCGUGAAGAGGGAAACAACCCAGACCGCCAGCUAAGGUCCCAAAGUCAUGGUUAAGUGGGAAACGAUGUGGGAAGGCCCAGACAGCCAGGAUGUUGGCUUAGAAGCAGCCAUCAUUUAAAGAAAGCGUAAUAGCUCACUGGUCGAGUCGGCCUGCGCGGAAGAUGUAACGGGGCUAAAACCAUGCACCGAAGCUGCGGCAGCGACACUAUGUGUUGUUGGGUAGGGGAGCGUUCUGUAAGCCUGUGAAGGUGGCCUGUGAGGGCUGCUGGAGGUAUCAGAAGUGCGAAUGCUGACAUAAGUAACGAUAAUGCGGGUGAAAAACCCGCACGCCGGAAGACCAAGGGUUCCUGUCCAACGUUAAUCGGGGCAGGGUGAGUCGACCCCUAAGGCGAGGCUGAAAAGCGUAGUCGAUGGGAAACAGGUUAAUAUUCCUGUACUUGGUGUUACUGCGAAGGGGGGACGGAGAAGGCUAUGUCAUCCGGGCGACGGUUGUCCCGGUUUAAGCGUGCAGGUGGGUGGACCAGGCAAAUCCGGUCUGCUGUUAACACUGAGGCGUAAUGACGAGGUACUACGGUACUGAAGUGACAGAUGCCCUGCUUCCAGGAAAAGCCUCUAAGCAUCAGGUAACAUUGAAUCGUACCCCAAACCGACACAGGUGGUCAGGUAGAGAAUACUCAGGCGCUUGAGAGAACUCGGGUGAAGGAACUAGGCAAAAUGGUGCCGUAACUUCGGGAGAAGGCACGCUCCUGUUGGUGAAGUCCCUUGCGGACGGAGCUGACGGGAGUCGCAGAUACCAGCUGGCUGCAACUGUUUAAUAAAAACACAGCACUGUGCAAACACGAAAGUGGACGUAUACGGUGUGACGCCUGCCCGGUGCCGGAAGGUUAAUUGAUGGGGUCAGCCGCAAGGCGAAGCUCUUGAUCGAAGCCCCGGUAAACGGCGGCCGUAACUAUAACGGUCCUAAGGUAGCGAAAUUCCUUGUCGGGUAAGUUCCGACCUGCACGAAUGGCGUAAUGAUGGCCAGGCUGUCUCCACCCGAGACUCAGUGAAAUUGAACUCGCUGUGAAGAUGCAGUGUACCCGCGGCAAGACGGAAAGACCCCGUGAACCUUUACUAUAGCUUGACACUGAACCUUGAGCCUUGAUGUGUAGGAUAGGUGGGAGGCUUUGAAGUGUGGACGCCAGUCUGCAUGGAGCCAACCUUGAAAUACCACCCUUUAAUGUUUGAUGUUCUAACGUGGGCCCCUAAUCGGGGUUGCGGACAGUGUCUGGUGGGUAGUUUGACUGGGGCAGACUCCUCCCAAAGAGUAACGGAGGAGCACGAAGGUUAGCUAAUCCUGGUCGGACAUCAGGAGGUUAGUGCAAAGGCAUAAGCUAGCUUGACUGCGAGAGUGACGGCUCGAGCAGGUGCGAAAGCAGGUCUUAGUGAUCCGGUGGUUCUGAAUGGAAGGGCCAUCGCUCAACGGAUAAAAGGUACUCCGGGGAUAACAGGCUGAUACCGCCCAAGAGUUCAUAUCGACGGCGGUGUUUGGCACCUCGAUGUCGGCUCAUCACAUCCUGGGGCUGAAGUAGGUCCCAAGGGUAUGGCUGUUCGCCAUUUAAAGUGGUACGCGAGCUGGGUUUAGAACGUCGUGAGACAGUUCGGUCCCAUCUGCCGUGGGCGUUGGAAGAUUGAGGGGGGUUGCUCCUAGUACGAGAGGACCGGAGUGAACGCACCACUGGUGUUCGGGUUGUCAUGCCAAUGGCAUUGCCCGGUAGCUACGUGCGGAAGAGAUAACCGCUGAAAGCAUCUAAGCGGGAAACUUGCCCCGAGAUGAGUCUUCCCUGGGCCCUUGAGGCCCCUGAAGGGACGUUUAAGACGAAGACGUUGAUAGGCUGGGUGUGUAAGCGCAGCGAUGCGUUGAGCUAACCAGUACUAAUGACCCGAGAGGCUUAACCUU